rnacentral:rRNA from 1 species
AAUUAUUUGUUUAACACGUUGAAAACACGACAUUCCGUCCGAUCUGUCAAGUUAAAAUUAAGCAACGUUGGGCUUAGUUAGUAUAGGAUCGGAGAUGGCCUAGGAAUUCCAUGUGCUGUAAGUU